rnacentral:tRNA from 16 species
GGGUCGUUAGCUCAGUCGGUAGAGCAGUUGGCUUUUAACCAAUUGGUCGCUGGUUCGAAUCCAGCACGACCCACCA